GCUAAUACCCGAUGUGCCGAGAGGUGAAACAUUUAUGGCCUGGAGAUGAGCUCGCGUCUGAUUAGCUAGUUGGUGGGGUAAGAGCUUACCAAGGCGACGAUCAGUAGCUGGUCUGAGAGGAUGAUCAGCCACACUGGAACUGAGACACGGUCCAGACUCCUACGGGAGGCAGCAGUGGGGAAUUUUCCGCAAUGGGCGCAAGCCUGACGGAGCAAGACCGCGUGGGGGAUGAAGGUUUGUGGAUUGUAAACCCCUUUUGAUUGGGAAGAAGAACUGACGGUACCAAUCGAAUAAGCCUCGGCUAACUCCGUGCCAGCAGCCGCGGUAAUACGGAGGAGGCAAGCGUUAUCCGGAAUUAUUGGGCGUAAAGCGUCCGUAGGUGGUUUAGUAAGUCUGCUGUCAAAGCGCGGGGCUUAACUCCGUAAAGGCAGUGGAAACUACUAGACUUGAGUGCGGUAGGGGUAGAGGGAAUUCCCAGUGUAGCGGUGAAAUGCGUAGAUAUUGGGAAGAA
rnacentral:rRNA from 1 species